rnacentral:rRNA from 1 species
UACAGAGGUCUCGAGCGUUGUUCGGAUUCAUUGGGCGUAAAGGGUGCGUAGGUGGCUAGGUAAGUCGGAUGUGAAAUCCCGGGGCUCAACCCCGGAACUGCAUUCGAUACUGCCUGGCUUGAGUACUGGAGAGGAGAUUGGAAUUUACGGUGUAGCAGUGAAAUGCGUAGAUAUCGUAAGGAAGACCAGUGGCGAAGGCGGAUCUCUGGACAGUUACUGACACUGAGGCACGAAGGCUAGGGGAGCAAACGGG